rnacentral:rRNA from 1 species
ACUCAAAGGAAUUGACGGGGGCCCGCACAAGCGGUGGAUGAUGUGGAUUAAUUCGAUGCAACGCGAAGAACCUUACCUGCCUUUGACAUGCCAGGAAUCUGCGAGAGAUUGCGGAGUGCCUUCGGGAGCCUGGACACAGGUGCUGCAUGGCUGUCGUCAGCUCGUGUCGUGAGAUGUUGGGUUAAGUCCCGCAACGAGCGCAACCCUUGCCAUUAGUUGCCAUCAUUAAGUUGGGCACUUUAAUGGGACUGCCGGUGACAAACCGGAGGAAGGUGGGGAUGACGUCAAGUCCUCAUGGCCCUUAUAGGCAGGGCUUCACACGUCAUACAAUGGUCGGUACAGAGGGUUGCCAACCCGCGAGGGGGAGCUAAUCUCAGAAAGCCGAUCGUAGUCCGGAUUGCAGGCUGCAACUCGCCUGCAUGAAGUCGGAAUCGCUAGUAAUCGCGGAUCAGCAUGUCGCGGUGAAUACGUUCCCGGGCCUUGCACACACCGCCCGU